GACGAACGCUGGCGGCGUGGAUUAGGCAUGCAAGUCGAACGAGAAAGCAUUCUUCGGAGUGUAAGUACAGUGGCGAACGGGUGAGAAACACGUAGGUAAUUUACCUUUAAGUUUGGGACAACCUGAGGAAACUCAGGCUAAUACCGGAUGUGAUCGAGAGAUUAAAGGGGGCCUCUAUUUAUAAGCUCUCGCUUAGAGAUAAGCCUGCGUCCUAUUAGCUAGAUGGUGUGGUAAUGGCGCACCAUGGCGAUGAUAGGUAGGCGGCCUUAACGGGUGGCCGCCCACACUGGGAUUGAGAUACGGCCCAG
rnacentral:rRNA from 1 species